UGGGGAAUAUUGGACAAUGGGCGCAAGCCUGAUCCAGCCAUGCCGCGUGGAUGAAGAAGGCCCUAGGGUUGUAAAGUCCUUUCACCGCCGAGGAUAAUGACGGUAGGCGGNGAAGAAGCCCCGGCUAAUUUCGUGCCAGCAGCCGCGGUAAUACGAAAGGGGCUAGCGUUGUUCGGAAUAACUGGGCGUAAAGCGCGCGUAGGGGGCCUAUCAAGUUGGGGGUGAAAUCCCGGAGCUCAACUCCGGAACUGCCUCCAAAACUGAUAAGCUCGAGGUUGUGAGAGGAUAGUGGAAUUCCGAGUGUAGAGGUGAAAUUCGUAGAUAUUCGGAAGAACACCAGUGGCGAAGGCGACUGUCUGGCACAUUUCUGACGCUGAGNCGCGNAAGCGUGGGGAGCAAACAGGAUUAGAUACCCCGGUAGUCC
rnacentral:rRNA from 1 species